GAGUUUGAUCAUGGCUCAGAGCGAACGUUAGCGGCGCGCCUAACACAUGCAAGUCGCACGGAGUAGCAAUACUCAGUGGCGCACGGGUGCGUAACACGUAGGUAACCUGCCCUGAAAUGGGGGAUAACGUUCCGAAAGGAGCGCUAAUACCGCAUAACGCCGAGAUGGGUUUGCCUGUUUCGGACAAAGGCUGGGACCAGCAAUGGCCAGUCGUUUUGGAGGGGUCUGCGGCCCAUCAGCUAGUUGGUAAGGUAAUGGCUUACCAAGGCAAAGACGGGUAGCUGGUCUGAGAGGAUGAUCAGCCACACUGGUACUGGAACACGGACCAGACUCCUACGGGAGGCAGCAGUGGGGAAUCUUGGUCAAUGGGCGCAAGCCUGAACCAGCGACGCCGCGUGAGUGAUGAAGGCCUUC
rnacentral:rRNA from 1 species